GAUGAACGCUGGCGGCGUGCCUAAUACAUGCAAGUCGAGCGAACAGACGAGGAGCUUGCUCCUCUGACGUUAGCGGCGGACGGGUGAGUAACACGUGGAUAACCUACCUAUAAGACUGGGAUAACUUCGGGAAACCGGAGCUAAUACCGGAUAAUAUAUUGAACCGCAUGGUUCAAUAGUGAAAGACGGUUUUGCUGUCACUUCUAGCUGGAUCCGCGCCGCAUUAGCUAGUUGGUAAGGUAACGGCUUACCAAGGCAACGAUGCGUAGCCGACCUGAGAGAGUGAUCGGCCACACUGGAACUGAGACACGGUCCAGACUCCUACGGGAGGCAGCAGUAGGGAAUCUUCCGCAAUGGGCGAAAGCUUGACGGAGCAACGCCGCGUGAGUGAUGAAGGUCUUCGGAUCGUAAAACUCUGUUAUUAGGGAAGAACAAAUGUGUAAGUAACUAUGCACGUCUUGACGGUACCUAAUCAGAAAGCCACGGCUAACUACGUG
rnacentral:rRNA from 1 species